AAGCGAUCUCCCGCACGGUGGGACCGUGCGAACCAGGUCAGGCGGGAAACCGAGCAGCCUUAAGCAUCGCGUUACCAGGUGUGCCGGGAGAUCGCUUUCU
rnacentral:SRP_RNA from 1 species